UACGGGGGGGCAAGCGUUGUUCGGAAUUACUGGGCGUAAAGGGCGCGUAGGCGGUACUUCAAGUCAGGCGUGAAAGCCCCGGGCUCAACCUGGGAACCGCGCUUGAGACUGGAGAACUAGAGUUCGGGAGAGGAUGGUGGAAUUCCCAGUGUAGAGGUGAAAUUCGUAGAUAUUGGGAAGAACACCGAUGGCGAAGGCAGCCAUCUGGACCGACACUGACGCUGAGGCGCGAAAGCGUGGGAGCAAACAGG
rnacentral:rRNA from 1 species